AUACGGGGGGAGCAAGCGUUGUCCGGAAUUACUGGGCGUAAAGGGCGUGUAGGCGGCUUGAUAAGUCAGAUGUGAAAGUCUUCCGCUUAACGGAAGAACUGCAUUUGAAACUGUCGGGCUUGAGUGCGAGAGAGGGUAGUGGAAUUCCCAGUGUAGCGGUGAAAUGCGUAGAUAUUGGGAAGAACACCAGUAGCGAAGGCGGCUACCUGGCUCGUAACUGACGCUAAGGCGCGAAAGCGUGGGGAGCAAACAGGAUUAGAAACCCUAGUAGUCC
rnacentral:rRNA from 1 species